rnacentral:tRNA from 2 species
AAGGAUUUAAGUUAAAAAAACUUUUAACCUUCAAAGUUGAGAAUAGAUUAUAUCUAAGCCUUA